rnacentral:lncRNA from 1 species
AAAAAACAAAAAACAAAACCCACAAUGGAGUGGAGACCCGGGGGAAAUCAACACUGAAAAAUACAAAAACAAUGGAAGACCAAUAGACAGAGCAGGCACUUUCACCUGGGGUGGAGGAGGUACGCAUGGAUGACCGAUAAGCGCAUGAAAAGAUGUGAGCUGUUCCCUGGAAAAGCAAGUGAGAAAAUUAGAGGGAGACAUUGUGGGGACACAUGGGUGAGACUGCCUUCUUCCAAAUACCGGAACAGGAUCAAACUGCUAGUCAGGUCGCGGAGAAGCCAAGUCAGUCACUCACGCCUCACUGGUGGUGAAGGGAAACGCGGUGCACGUAUUUCCCUUCCAAAAAAGAAGAACGGGAAAGGAGAUGUUAAAGGGCACAACCAAAGGGACGUCUAUCGACCCACCCACCAAGGAUUCCCCCCCCCCGCACGGCACAGCAGGAUGCCUGAGAGAUCCAUGCAGCCCUACAGUGGCAAGUCACAUUCGCACAGUCAAAACUCAAUGGCAGAGACAAAACGUUAAGGUCAGCGAGAGGGAAGAGAAUAACCGGCCCAGGAGCAACGGUGUGAAGAACACGGAGAAGACGGGUCCUAGACGCCGGGGUCCCCGGAGCAGCGAUUUCAUCAGAGGCCCGCGAACGUCCACGAUCUCCACACCACGUUUAUGGCCGACUGCGUGCGUGGGUCCUUUGGAAUCGACCAGGCUACUGUCCGGGCCACUUUGGGACAUCGUGGCCAGCUGCCCCGAGCGGUGGAGCUGUCAUUCGAGU